rnacentral:rRNA from 1 species
AAAGGAUCGGCCCGCGUCUGAUUAGGUAGUUGGUGAGGUAACGGCUCACCAAGCCGACGAUCAGUAGCUGGUCUGAGAGGAUGAUCAGCCACACUGGGACUGAGACACGGCCCAGACUCCUACGGGAGGCAGCAGUGGGGAAUAUUGGACAAUGGGGGCAACCCUGAUCCAGCCAUGCCGCGUGAGUGAAGAAGGCCUUCGGGUUGUAAAGCUCUUUCGGCGGGGACGAUGAUGACGGUACCCGCAUAAGAAGCCCCGGCAAACUUCGUGCCAGCAGCCGCGGUAAUACGAAGGGGGCUAGCGUUGUUCGGAAUUACUGGGCGUAAAGCGCGCGUAGGCGGUGAUCUUUGUCAGAGGUGAAAGCCCGGGGCUCAACUCCGGAAUUGCCUUUGAGACGGGAUUGCUUGAGUCCGAGAGAGGAUGGCGGAAUUCCUAGUGUAGAGGUGAAAUUCGUAGAUAUUAGGAAGAACACCGGUGGCGAAGGCGGCCAUCUGGCUCGGUACUGACGCUCAGGCGCGAAAGCGUGGGGAGCAAACAGGAUUAGAU